GUGUCUUUCUGAGACUGUGCUUCUUUGGAGCAGUUGCUGGCUGUUGGAAGGGGAAUUGAGGAAAACUGAGGGGAAUUCAGGGGGAAAAAACUAGAAGAAUGGCAGAAGACAUGGAGAAUUGGCCUUGUGAGAGGAAGCAAAAGAAUUUCUUAUGUUGCUGGAUCACAAGAAAGAGAAAAUUAAAGGAGUAUAGCGGUCAUUUGAUGUAUAAAAGAUCUUUACAGAAGUCAGUUCUCCACAGCUACUGGCAAAAGGACAGAACCAAAUCUGGUUACUGUGCAGCAGAUAUAAUUAGGUUGAGUUCCUUACAAUUCUGAUCAGAAGGAAUUGUUAAGCAAUACAUGUGUUAACAAAGGUGGUCGUGAUUUUUUUUUUUUUCCUCCACUGUGUCUCUUUAAAGAUCAGAUGCUUACAAUAUCCAUCAGAAAUAAUCUUUACGUACUCCUUACAUUUGUGCAGUGCCUUUUAGUUAACUAUUCCUGUUUACUGUUGUAUCAUUUAUCUCCCACCUUCCCCAGGAGAUUUGUAUCCCUUCCCCUCUGCCAAUCAAUUGCUUAUGUCAUCUCAAUGAAAUAAGCCAACCGAAUGUAUCUACAAUUCUCUGUAUCAAAAAAGGCAGUUUCUGGUCUGGGAUUUGUCGGCAGGGCUUUGUGAUUUUUUUUUUUGUAACUACAUCUGUAGUGCAGUAUGAAUGGAUACAGAACAGUGAUAAUCUAAACAAUUAAAAUGUAUGGGAUUGCUUGAUUAUGCACCUGCUCCUCCUUUUGGACUGUUGUCACUUUAAAGAAGCAAGCUGCAGGAAAAUAGCACUGGGACUGCGGACUUAUCCAGCUGUAGUUUUAGCUGUUUUUAUGCUGUACCUAAUGCACAGAUACUCUAUAAAAUUGUUUUAUAUUAUCUCAGUUUCUUGGGUCUUGCAGUACUGAAAUCAGAUUUUAAGUAUAAAUUACUUUGGUUUCACUUUGUCAUGUGAUAGCUGCAGUCAUGGUUCUGUGACAAAUGGAUGACACUUUUCCUUUUUUUUUCCUUGUACAAUUGGCAAAAUGUUCUAGAAAAUCUGAAGCAGGAAUCAUGAAAGCAACUCUGAACUGUCAAAACAGUGAAGGACAAGUGGGGGGGAAGUAAUCAAUGAGUUCACUGCAGUUUUGGACAUGACGAUCACCAACUGUCUUUAUGAUGGAUGCUAAAACACUGUAAGGCAUACAGAAGCCAUUACAUUACACUUAGAAUUCAAUAAAAUUAAGAGAAUGAAAAUAGUUUAUUUUUAAAGUGAAGCUGUUCCCACAACAACAGUAUAAGAGGUUGAAAUAGGUCACAGGCAGCCCUCCUUACAUUGCUCAAGAACAUUAAAAGGAUUAAUCAUUUAUGGAUUAUCUCCUAGAAACAAUGAUCUGGUGCAGACAGGUAAUCCAAUCUCCUCUAUCUUUCUAACCUGGUUUGCCGUUUCACAGGGGAUUGUGCAAGGGUGGCAUUUUUUUUCUAGGAAGACAUUGUCUGCCUGCCAGCUUGAAACGUGUAAAUAGCUGGAAUUUGCAUCAAAAACAUGACAGCUCUUCCCUGACAAAGGUAGGUAGUGAGAUUAGAGGGUAAAGCUAAUUCUUUUAACUAGAGCAUUGAGUUUUGGCUCAGAAACGUUAUUUUGACCAUUAGUUGAAAUUUCUCAGUGAAGAGAGUAAAGAGAAAGUUUUAUCAUUGACAAAUCAGAACUAGAAAGAGAACAUUAUUCCUGGUACUCUGGGCUUUGCAUUAAUAUCUAGUAAUAUCUUCUGGACUAAAUUUUUCCAGAAAUAUGAAUACAUUUUACAUUUGAAUACCAGCAAUUGCAGUCUAUGUAUGUAUAUUCGAAGUAGGUAUACAGUCUUAUUUUUAUAGAUUUAUAUGCUCUAUGUAAUUAUAGGGCUUUGAACAUUUUUGCCAGUCUUGUCAUUUUAUGCAACAGGAGAUGCAGGGCUUGCUGCUGAAUGUAUUAGAACUGUACUAAUCUAAUUAAUGAAAAUGAACUCUAUUGCAAAUCCCCACUGGGGCAAAUUAACAAUUGGAUGAAGAUAUUGCAGAAGCAAAGGUGCACCAUCAGGGAGUCUCAAUUGCUCAUUUCAUUUUACAUGCAGUUUCUGUUUUAUUGACAUAAUAACAUUAUGGAAAACAAUAUGCAAUUACUGUUAGAAGUCUCAGAGUAGCCUUUUCUUAGUUUUCUUGCACACAUCAGACUGCACAGAUCAAAAACUUAUGAUUAGUUUAGCAAGAUUCUGCUUCGUGUAGAACUGAGAAAUGCAGCAAGAAUAAUUGUGCACCAGUAGUAAAUAUCUUAAGCCUUGAGCAAAAUACUUGAAUAGAACAAUGUUAGUUUCCAAACUCUAAAUAAAAAAUGAUGUUAAAUAU
rnacentral:lncRNA from 1 species